rnacentral:rRNA from 1 species
AACGAACGCUGGCGGCAGGCUUAACACAUGCAAGUCGAGCGCUCACUUCGGUGAGAGCGGCAGACGGGUGAGUAGCACGUGGGAACCUACCCAUCUCUACGGAAUAGCCCAGGGAAACUUGGAUUAAUACCGUAUACGCCCUUCCAUUGGUUUGGUUGGGGAAAGAUUUAUCGGGGAUGGAUGGGCCCGCGCUGGAUUAGCUAGUUGGUGGGGUAAUGGCCUACCAAGGCGACGAUCCAUAGCUGGUCUGAGAGGAUGAUCAGCCACACUGGGACUGAGACACGGCCCAGACUCCUACGGGAGGCAGCAGUGGGGAAUAUUCGGCAAUGGGCGCAAGCCUGACCGAGCCAUGCCGCGUGUGUGAUGAAGGCCUUAGGGUUGUAAAGCACUUUCAACGGGGAAGAUAAUGACGGUACCCGUAGAAGAAGCCCCGGCUAACUUCGUGCCAGCAGCCGCGGUAAU